rnacentral:rRNA from 1 species
CAUCGAUGAAGAACGUAGCGAAAUGCGAUACUUGGUGUGAAUUGCAGAAUCCCGUGAACCAUCGAGUCUUUGAACGCAAGUUGCGCCCGAGGCUACUUGGCCGAGGGCACGCCUGCCUGGGCGUCAUGCC